AGAGUUUGAUCCUGGCUCAGGAUGAACGCUAGCGACAGGCUUAACACAUGCAAGUCGAGGGGCAGCAUGAUUUGUAGCAAUACAGAUUGAUGGCGACCGGCGCACGGGUGAGUAACGCGUAUGCAACUUACCUAUCAGAGGGGGAUAGCCCGGCGAAAGUCGGAUUAAUACCCCAUAAAACAGGGGUCCCGCAUGGGAAUAUUUGUUAAAGAUUCAUCGCUGAUAGAUAGGCAUGCGUUCCAUUAGGCAGUUGGCGGGGUAACGGCCCACCAAACCGACGAUGGAUAGGGGUUCUGAGAGGAAGGUCCCCCACAUUGGUACUGAGACACGGACCAAACUCCUACGGGAGGCAGCAGUGAGGAAUAUUGGUCAAUGGACGCAAGUCUGAACCAGCCAUGCCGCGUGCAGGAAGACGGCUCUAUGAGUUGUAAACUGCUUUUGUACGAGGGUAAACGCAGAUACGUGUAUCUGUCUGAAAGUAUCGUACGAAUAAGGAUCGGCUAACUCCGUGCCAGCAGCCGCGGUAAUACGGAGGAUCCAAGCGUUAUCCGGAUUUAUUGGGUUUAAAGGGUGCGUAGGCGGUUUGAUAAGUUAGAGGUGAAAUACCGGUGCUUAACACCGGAACUGCCUCUAAUACUGUUGAACUAGAGAGUAGUUGCGGUAGGCGGAAUGUAUGGUGUAGCGGUGAAAUGCUUAGAGAUCAUACAGAACACCGAUUGCGAAGGCAGCUUACCAAACUAUAUCUGACGUUGAGGCACGAAAGCGUGGGGAGCAAACAGGAUUAGAUACCCUGGUAGUCCACGCAGUAAACGAUGAUAACUCGUUGUCGGCGAUACACAGUCGGUGACUAAGCGAAAGCGAUAAGUUAUCCACCUGGGGAGUACGUUCGCAAGAAUGAAACUCAAAGGAAUUGACGGGGGCCCGCACAAGCGGAGGAACAUGUG
rnacentral:rRNA from 1 species